rnacentral:lncRNA from 10 species
GUUUGGUAGCAGUGUGGAGAACAAGGAGAGAAAAGACUCAGGGUACGGAGAGCAGCAAGAACACAGAUGCAUACUUGAAGUGAGAAAUGAGCGUGGCUUGCACUGGGAUAAUAGAGCGGGUUUGGAAGGGACUGGAUGCUUUUGUGAGACAUUUAGGAAGUCCAGUGGGCAAAGCUUAGUGGCUGGUUGAAUGUGGGACAUGGAGAAAGAAGAGGGGUCAAGGAUGAUUUCCCGGCGAUUCCUUGAGAAUGACUGAACUUCUUAUUUAUGUGAGACAAGGAGCAUGGGAAGAUGAGCAGGUGGGGUGGAGGAGGGGAGCCAAGAGAGUGAGUCCAGCUUGAGGCGUGUUGAAUCUGGACACUCAAGUGGAGAAGUUAAAUAGGCAGUUGGAUAUCAGAUCUGGGGCUCAGAAAUGAAGUUUGGGCUGAAAAUAGAGACUUGGGAUUCAUCAGGGUAAAGCUGAUAAUUACAGCUACGAGCAAGAUUGAGAAUAUUUAGGGAAAUAUUUUGAAAAUGAGGGCAUAUAAGGGGACCAAGUCAGGACCUUGAAGAAUAUUGGUAUUUUAAAGAUAGAGAGGGAAACAAGUCUGCCAGGGAACCUAAAAUGGAACUGUAGGCAGAGAACCAGGAGAGUGGCACGUUGCAGACUGUAAGGAAAAAUGUGUGUGUGUGUGUUUGUGUCGUUUAAAUGGGUAUGGUAAACAACAACAAAAGCUGUGGAGAAGUCAGGAAGGAAAGAAUAUUAUGUACCAGCAAGGUUAUUAAGCAGUUUCAGAACCUUAGUGGGGCAGAAAUCAAAUCACGGUGGUUUACAAACUGAAGGGGAUUUAAGAAAAUGAGAUCAUUGAUCAUUAGAGAAAUGCAAAUCAAAACCGCAAUAAGAUACCAUCUCACACCAGUCAGAAUGGCUAUUACUAAAAAGUAAAAAAAUAACAGAUGCUGGUGAGGUGUGAUGGCUCAUGCCUGUAAUCCCAGCACUUUGGGAGACUGAGGUGGCCAGAUCACUUGAGGUCAGGAGUUGGAGACCAGCCUGGCCAGCAUGGUGAAAACUCGUCUCUACUGAAAAUACAAAAAUUAGCCAGGCAUAGUGGCACAUGCCUGUAGUCACAGUUACUCGGGAGGCUGAGUCAGGAGAAUCGCUUGAAUCCGGGAGGCGGGCAUUGCAGUGAGCCAAGACUGCCUCACUGCACUCCAGCCUGGGCAACAGAACGAGACUCCAUCUCAAAACAAAACAAAAACAAACAAACAAAACAGAUGCUGGUGAAGUUGUGGAGAAAAGGGAAGACUUAAACACUUUUGGUGGGAAUGUAAAUUAGUGCAACAGUUGUGGAAAGCAAUGUAAGCAGCAUGGCGAUUCCUCAAGGAGCUAAAAGCAGAACUAAAUUCCACCCAGCAAACCUAUUACUGGGUCUAUACCCAGAGGAAUAUAAAUCAUUCUACCAUAAAGACACAUGCAUGCGAACAUUGAUUGCAACACUUCACAAGAGCAGAGACAUGAAAUCAACCUAAAUGUCCAUCAAUGACAAAUUGGAUAAAGAAAAUGUGGUACAUAUAUAUACCAUGAAAUACUAUACAGCCAUAAAAAUGAAGAAGAUCAUGCUUCUGUGGGAACAUGGAUGGAGCUGGAGGCCAUUAUCCUUAGCAAAUUAAUGCAGGAACAGAAAACCGAAUACCUCAUGUUCUCACUUAUAAGCGGGGGCUAAAUGAUGAGAACGCAUGAACACAAAGAAGGGAACAGCAGACACUGGCGUCUACUUGAGGGUGGAGAGUGGGAGGAGGGAGAGGAGCAGAAAAGAUAACUAUUAGGUACUAGAUUUAGUACCUGGAUGAUGAAAUAAACUGUACAACAAACUCCCAUGACAUGAGUUCACCUAUGUAACAAACCUUUACAUGUACCCCCCAACCUAAAAGUUUUUUUAAAAAAGAAAGAAAAUGGGAUCAGUGAGGGGAGACAGAUUUUUCCAGAAGUAUGGCUGAAAACAG